rnacentral:rRNA from 1 species
UGGUAGUGACGAAAAAUAACAAUGCGGGACUCUUCCGAGUCUGCGUAAUUGGAAUGAGUCCACUUUAAAUCCUUUAGCAACAACCAAUUGGAGGGCAAGUCUGGUGCCAGCAGCCGCGGUAAUUCCAGCUCCAAUAGCGUAUAUUAAAGUUGUUGCGGUUAAAAAGCUCGUAGUUCGAGGUCAGUUCCGGACUGGUGUGGGAGGUCACCGCCCGGUGCUUCCCCGUCAGGCUCCGAACAGCUUCCUUGUGUGGAAGCCAAGCCGGUUCUGCCGGGGUGCUCUUUACCGAGUGUCCCGCGCGGCCGGCCAGUUCACCUUGAAUAAAUGAGAGUGCUCAAAGCAGGCUACUCUGGAAUACAAUGCCCGAAUGUUAGCUGCAUGGAAUGAUGGAAGAUGAUCUCGGUUCCAUUUUGUUGGUGGUGGGAGCCCGAGGUAAUGAUAAACAGGGACUGUCGGGGGCAUCCGUACUACGACGCGAGAGGUGAAAUUCAGUGACCGUCGUAGGACGAACAACAGCGAAAGCAUUUGCCAAGAAUGUCUUCGUUGAUCAAGAACGAAAGUUAGAGGAUCGAAGGCGAUCAGAUACCGCCCUAGUUCUAACCCUAAACGAUGCUGACUAGCAAUUCGCCGUCGUUAUUCCCAUGACGUGGCGAGACGCCCCCGGGAAACCUCAAGUCUUUGAGUUCCGGGGGUAGUAUGGUUGCAAAACUGAAACUUAAAGGAAUUGACGGAAGGGCACCACCAGGAGUGGAGCCUGCGGCUUAAUUUGACUCAACACGGGAAAGCUCACCAGGCCCGGACACCAGAAGGAUUGACAGAUUAAGAGCUCUUUCUCGAUUUGGUGGGUGGUGGUGCAUGGCCGUUCUU